GGAAGAAAAACGUCUGGACUUCUUUAAGUUUCUUGAAGAUGAAGUCCAGAUGCUUUUCUUUCCA
ensembl:miRNA